GACGAACGCUGGCGGCGUGCUUAACACAUGCAAGUCGAACGGAAAGGCCCUGCUUUUGUGGGGUGCUCGAGUGGCGAACGGGUGAGUAACACGUGAGUAACCUGCCCUUGACUUUGGGAUAACUUCAGGAAACUGGGGCUAAUACCGGAUAGGAGCUCCUGCUGCAUGGUGGGGGUUGGAAAGUUUCGGCGGUUGGGGAUGGACUCGCGGCUUAUCAGCUUGUUGGUGGGGUAGUGGCUUACCAAGGCUUUGACGGGUAGCCGGCCUGAGAGGGUGACCGGCCAAAAUGGGACUGAGGUACGGGCCAGAAUCCUACGGGAGGCAGGAGGGGGGAAUAUUGCACCAUGGGCGGAAGCCUGAUGCAGCAACGCCGCGUGGGGGAUGACGGCCUUCGGGGUGUAAACCGCUUUCGCCUGUGACGAAGCGUGAGUGACGGUAAUGGGUAAAGAAGCACCGGCUAACUACGUG
rnacentral:rRNA from 1 species